ensembl:snoRNA LOC120101242 small nucleolar RNA SNORA24
AUGUGUAAAGACAUGACCUUAUUCUUGCUUAUUGGCAAGGUUGUCCCCAUGUAGCUGGUAUCAUAUUCUAAUUUGCACAAGUGACAGUC